AUUGAACGCUGGCGGAAUGCUUUACACAUGCAAGUCGAACGGAGGUAGGGGCAACUCUACUUCAGUGGCGGACGGGUGAGGAAUGCGUCGGAAUCUACCCUAUGGUGGGGGAUAACACAGGGAAACUUGUGCUAAUACCGCAUAAUGUCGAGAGACCAAAGCAGGGGACCGCAAGGCCUUGCGCGAUAGGAUGAGCCGACGCCCGAUUAGCUAGUUGGUAGGGUAAAGGCCUACCAAGGCGACGAUCGGUAGCUGGUCUGAGAGGAUGAUCAGCCACACUGGGACUGAGACACGGCCCAGACUCCUACGGGAGGCAGCAGUGGGGAAUAUUGGACAAUGGGCGCAAGCCUGAUCCAGCAAUGCCGCGUGUGUGAAGAAGGCCUGCGGGUUGUAAAGCACUUUUGUUCGGGAAGAAAUCAUGCUGGUUAAUACCUGGUAUGGAUGACGGUACCGAAAGAAUAAGCACCGGCUAACUUCGUGCCAGCAGCCG
rnacentral:rRNA from 1 species